rnacentral:lncRNA from 1 species
GGAUGCAGGGGCAUAGGCUUAUUAUAGAAUGCUAUAUUUUUUUAUUGAAAGGAGUAAUAGGAAAGUGAUUAUUUCAUUUUGGGUGGGUCCCAUGGUAUAAAAUAAAGGGAUUUAAACUUUAAGAAGGGUGUUGUAUUAGGUAGAGGGGUGGGUUUUUAGGAUUCAAGGAGAUUAAAUUGAAAUGUUGGCACUCGGGUCUUUAGGAAAGAGAGAGGUUAAACCCUUUCAAAGGUCCUAAUUUAUGUAAGGUUUUCC